UACGUAGGGUGCAAGCGUUGUCCGGAAUUAUUGGGCGUAAAGAGCUCGUAGGCGGUUUGUUGCGUCGGCUGUGAAAUCCCGAGGCUCAACCUCGGGUCUGCAGUCGAUACGAGCAAAACUAGAGUGUUGCAGGGGAGACUGGAAUUCCUGGUGUAGCGGUGAAAUGCGCAGAUAUCAGGAGGAACACCGGUGGGCGAAAGGCGGGGUCUCUGG
rnacentral:rRNA from 1 species